CAUUACUUGUUGUAUUAGAGAACUACGACGAGAGAGAAAAUCUAAGAAUGAGGAUACAAAGAUGAGACUAGGGAGUGAUGGAGAAUAAUUAUGAAGAAGAAGAAAAGGUUUAAUAAGUUCAGAAGAGAAAGCUUUAGUGAGCUUAAGGGGAGUGCGACUAUUUUUUUUGGGUCCAACAUGUCUGAUGAUUGCAACCGUUCUAGUUUAUGGAAGAUAUUCAAGGUGUAUGGGAACAAUGUUGACACAAUUAUUGCAGGGAACAAAGAUAGGACACGAGGUAUCUUUGCAUUUAUUUGAUUCAUCAUGGUGAACAAUCCUCAUGCUUUAGAAGAGUCUCUAAAAAAGGUGAAGGUGAAAAAACAAGUUCGCAUGUUUAAAGUUGAUUUUGAUAAGGCUUUUGAUUCCAGUAAUUGGAGCUACUUGGACUCUAUUUUGGAUCAAAUGAGUUUUUGGUGGAAAUAGAGGAAUUGGAUAAAUGGGUGUUUAUCUUCUGGUAGGACCUCAAUUUUAGUUAAUAUCUCCUUAUAAAAGAAUUUCAAAUCAAUAAAGAUAACUAAGACGAGAGAGAAAAUCUAUGAAUGAUGAUUCAACGAUGAGAAUGAGGAGGGAUGGAGAACAAUUUACAGAAGAAAAAAUGUUUAAUAUGUUUAGAGGAGAAAACUUUAAUGAGCUUAAAGGGAGUGCAACUAUCUUUUUUAGAUCCAACUUACCUGAUGAUUGCAAUCAUUCCGGUUUAUGGAAGAUAUUCAAGGAGUAUGGGAACAAUGUUAACAUGUAUAUUGCAUGGAACAAAGAUAGGACACGUGAUAUCUUUUCAUCCAUUUUAUUCAUCAAGGUGAACAAUACUCGUGCUUUAGAAGAGUCUCCAAAGAUGGUGAAGGUGAAAAACAAGUUUGUAUGUUUAAAGUUGAUUUUGAUAGGGCUUUUGAUUCCCGUAAUUAGAGCUACUUGGACUGUAUUUUGGAUCAAAUGGGUUUUGGGUGGAAAUAGAGGAAUUGGAUAAAUGGGUGUUUAUCUUCUGGUAGGACCUCGAUUUUGGUUAACGACUCCCCUAUAAAAGACUUUCAAAUCAAUAGAGGGAGAACUAUGACGGGAGAGAAAAUCUAUGAAUAAGGAUACAAUGAUGGGACUAAGGAGGGAUUCAAAACAAUUAUGCAGAAGAAGAAAAUGUUUAAUAAGUUUUGAGGAUAAAACUUUAGUGAGCUUAAGGGGAGUGCAACUACCUUUUUGGGUCCAACUUACCUAAUGAUUGCAAUCGUUCCUGUUUAUGGAAGAUAUUCAAUGACUAUGGGAACAUUGUUGACAUGUAUAUUGCAGGGAACAAAGAUAGGACACGAAAAUGUUUAAUACGUUUAGAGGAGAAAACUAUUUGAUAGCCGAGAAAAUGUACUCCAAAAUCCAUCUUCAAGGUUUUAAGUGGGUUAAUUGGGCUUGAAUCAAAGUUAAUUGUUUUGUUUGGAAGACGUUGCUUAAUAGGUUUCCAGUGGCUCCGAAUCUCGUGAUUAGAGGUGUUGCUCUCAAUUCCAUAGUGUGUCCCUUUUUCCAAUCUAAGGAGGAGGAUGUCGAUCAUAUAUUUUUUUCAAUUGCAGGUUCUCGGCUGAUAUUUUAGAUUAGUUUGGUAGCUGGUGUGGGCUGCUUCCGGUUAUCCCGAAAAAUAAAGAAGACUUGUUUACGACUUUGGGAGCCUCCGGUCACAAAAAGGAAAUGAGAAAGGCAUCUUGGUUCUUCUUUAUUCGGUGAUCUGGAUCAUUUGUAAGGCUUGCAACAACGUGUUUUUUUAACAGAAAGCAAUGCUCUUUCUUAAAGACGACAUAUGAUACCGAGUUGAUUUCAUUAAAUUGGACAAAUCAUAGAUCUUCUUUUAAUCAUCUUUGUUAGUUCAAUUAUUGUAGUUCCCCUUUUAAAGUUUGUAAUUUAUAAUUGUUGUACUCUAUUUUGUUCUAA